CCUACGGGAGGCAGCAGUGGGGAAUAUUGCACAAUGGGGGAAACCCUGAUGCAGCGACGCCGCGUGAGUGAAGAAGUAUUUCGGUAUGUAAAGCUCUAUCAGCAGGGACGAGACAAGACGGUACCUGACUAAGACGCCCCGGCUAACUACGUGCCAGCAGCCGCGGCAAUACGUAGGGGGCAAGCGUUAUCCGGAAUCACUGGGUGUAAAGGGAGCGUAGACGGCUGUGCAAGCCUGAAGUGGAAGGCGGGGGCCCAACCCCUGGACUGCUUUGGGAACUGUACGGCUGGAGUGCAGGAGAGGAAAGUGGAAGUCCUAGUGUAGCGGUGAAAUGCGUAGAUAUUAGGAGGAACACCAGUGGCGAAGGCGGCUUACUGGACUGUAACUGACGUUGAGGCUCGAAAGCGUGGGGAGCAAACAGGAUUAGAUACCCCGGUAGUC
rnacentral:rRNA from 1 species